ensembl:lncRNA
ACAGGAAGUUUAGCAUGGUCAAAUAUGGCCGCCGGCUCUUGCACGCUCCUCCGUGGGGGACUCUGGAUAGAGGGGCUAGAAAUGGCUCUCGGCUCCGUGUGUGCAUGUGAGAGUGUGUAAGUGUACGUGUAUGUGUGGGACACGGUGACGCAUCAUGCAGCAGUAGUCUGAAUAUUUUAGCAGGAAACAUUAGUGACGCUUUCUCCUCUUUCUUUCAUCAUUCUCUCCGUUUCCUUUUCCAUCAUUUUUUGUCAGUGUCUUCUUUUCCCAUUCGGUGUGAUGAAAAAAAAUGAAAACUAAAUUAUAAAUUCAUCUAGUCGAAGACUGUUAAUAGAUUUUCUGUAGCGUACAAACCCAAGGUUUUCUAGUAGCAGGCUUAUGCAAAUUAAAUCAGAAGGUAGACAGCGUGGCAGGACUAGGUGUGCACACACUGAGUUUUAUUUUUAUUUAUUUAUUUUUUUGUGGCUUUCUGGUGGGGCUCUAGCUUCCUGCACUGAGGUUUCUUCAGGUGAAGAUGUUCUGCAGCACACUUACUAUGCAAUUGAUUGAUAUCACAUGAAUCUCUGAUGUUGUGUAUUUAUUUUUUUGUACAAUUGCACAUGUGAAUGUGUGUCUUUUGUGGAAUAAUACUAUCCAUGUUGUACAUACAGUAUGCACAUUGUAAACAUUUGCUAUUUAUCUGCAGUAUUCAGUAUAAUAGCCAGCAGCAUCUUUACUCACUUUAGCCUCUCAUAGACCCCAUAAAUCAUGUUUUAUUCUGGCCUCCCGUGUGUGUGUGUGUGUGUGUGUGUGUGUGUGUGUGUGUGUGUGUGUGUGUGUGUGUGUGUGUGUGUGUGUGUGUGUGUGUGAGUGUGUGUGAGAGAGAGAGAGAGAGAGGAAGAUGUUUAAAAAUUCGUUUUGAACCUGAUUCAUUUGAGUAUGUGUGUAAAAAUUGCCAGUAGAGACUCUUUAAUUCCAUUACUUGCCUCUUGAAGAAAAGAAGACAGCUCGAGGCGUAAACCACUCUCACACACUUAAUACACACACUGACGUUGGGCUACAGUCUGGACUCACCCUAUCUUGGCUGACCAUGCUGUAUGCUUGGUUUCAGCCAUUGUUUCUGAUGCAAAGAAUGUAUGUAUAAUGCAUAUAGUAUGUAUGUGCACUGUGUACUUCA